rnacentral:rRNA from 1 species
GACGAACGCUGGCGGCGUGCCUAACACAUGCAAGUCGAACGGAGAUUACGGACGGAAGGUUUGGGAUGUAAGAAGAAAAUGCGUAGUGGCCGACGGGUUAGUAACUCGUUAGCAACCCGCGCUAUAGAGGGGAAUAGCAGCUGGAAGGGGCUGAUAAAACAUCAUUAGACGGUUAAAUCGCAUGAUUGCUGAGUGGAAUGAGUAAUCAGGUAUAGGAUGGGCCCGCGGUGGAUUAGCUAGUUGGCAGGGUAACAGCCUACCAAAGCGACGAUGGGUAGCCGGACUGAGAGGACGGCCGGCCACAUUGGGACUGAGACACGGCCCAAACUCCUACGGGAGGCAGCAGUGGGGAAUAUUGCACAAUGGAGGAAACUCUGAUGCAGCCACGCCGCGUGAGUGAAGAAGUACUUAGGUAUGUAAAGCUCUAUCAGCAGGGAAGAUGAUGACGGUACCUGACUAAGAAGCCCCGGCUAACUACGUG